GCAUUAAUUGAUGUACAAGGGGGACAAUUGACAUUGAGAGUGAAUGAAGAAGAGGUGAGGUUCAACAUUUACCAAGCAAUGAAGUACUCAGAUGACAAUGACACUUGCCACAUGAUUGACUUCAUUGAUUCUGCUGUGAGAGAUGAGAAAUUAUGUAUUGAAGAUCCUCUAGAGCAAUGUAUGAUGUUUAGUACAACAAAGGAUGAUAUUAGCACUUUUGGA
rnacentral:lncRNA from 1 species